rnacentral:lncRNA from 1 species
GAAUCCAAUGUUGGUCAAUUUGUCCAAGGAAGACUUGAUGUUCUUCGGGAAAAUGAGCAAUGGUACACACGGCUUGAAUGGGGUGAGCUACGGCUUGACUAUUGUAGUAAACCCGAGUGUUCUUCCAAUUUGAUGGAGGGAACUUCUGUCUUUGACUUCUCCUUAGGGCUAUAGGCGCUUCUUGAGAUGUAGAGCCUUCAUUAUGAUCCGAU